rnacentral:rRNA from 1 species
GGUCAAGUGAAGAAGCGCAUACGGUGGAUGCCUUGGCAGUCAGAGGCGAUGAAAGACGUGGUAGCCUGCGAAAAGCUUCGGGGAGUCGGCAAACAGACUUUGAUCCGGAGAUCUCUGAAUGGGGGAACCCACCUAGGAUAACCUAGGUAUCUUGUACUGAAUCCAUAGGUGCAAGAGGCGAACCAGGGGAACUGAAACAUCUAAGUACCCUGAGGAAAAGAAAUCAACCGAGAUUCCCUUAGUAGUGGCGAGCGAACGGGGAUUAGCCCUUAAGCUUCAUUGAUUUUAGCGGAACGCUCUGGAAAGUGCGGCCAUAGUGGGUGAUAGCCCCGUACGCGAAAGGAUCUUUGAAGUGAAAUCGAGUAGGACGGAGCACGAGAAACUUUGUCUGAACAUGGGGGGACCAUCCUCCAAGGCUAAAUACUACUGACUGACCGAUAGUGAACCAGUACCGUGAGGGAAAGGCGAAAAGAACCCCGGAGAGGGGAGUGAAAUAGAACCUGAAACCAUAUGCGUACAAGCAGUGGGAGCCUACUUGUUAGGUGACUGCGUACCUUUUGUAUAAUGGGUCAGCGACUUAUAUUCAGUGGCAAGCUUAACCGUAUAGGGUAGGCGUAGCGAAAGCGAGUCUUAAUAGGGCGUUUAGUCGCUGGGUAUAGACCCGAAACCGGGCGAUCUAUCCAUGAGCAGGUUGAAGGUUAGGUAACACUGACUGGAGGACCGAACCCACUCCCGUUGAAAAGGUAGGGGAUGACUUGUGGAUCGGAGUGAAAGGCUAAUCAAGCUCGGAGAUAGCUGGUUCUCCUCGAAAGCUAUUUAGGUAGCGCCUCAUGUAUCACUCUGGGGGGUAGAGCACUGUUUCGGCUAGGGGGUCAUCCCGACUUACCAAACCGAUGCAAACUCCGAAUACCCAGAAGUGCCGAGCAUGGGAGACACACGGCGGGUGCUAACGUCCGUCGUGAAAAGGGAAACAACCCAGACCGCCAGCUAAGGUCCCAAAGUUGUGGUUAAGUGGUAAACGAUGUGGGAAGGCUUAGACAGCUAGGAGGUUGGCUUAGAAGCAGCCAUCCUUUAAAGAAAGCGUAAUAGCUCACUAGUCGAGUCGGCCUGCGCGGAAGAUGUAACGGGGCUCAAACCACACACCGAAGCUGCGGGUGUCACGUAAGUGACGCGGUAGAGGAGCGUUCUGUAAGCCUGUGAAGGUGAGUUGAGAAGCUUGCUGGAGGUAUCAGAAGUGCGAAUGCUGACAUGAGUAACGACAAUGGGUGUGAAAAACACCCACGCCGAAAGACCAAGGGUUCCUGCGCAACGUUAAUCGACGCAGGGUUAGUCGGUUCCUAAGGCGAGGCUGAAAAGCGUAGUCGAUGGGAAACAGGUUAAUAUUCCUGUACUUCUGGUUACUGCGAUGGAGGGACGGAGAAGGCUAGGCCAGCUUGGCGUUGGUUGUCCAAGUUUAAGGUGGUAGGCUGAAAUCUUAGGUAAAUCCGGGGUUUCAAGGCCGAGAGCUGAUGACGAGUCGUCUUUUAGAUGACGAAGUGGUUGAUGCCAUGCUUCCAAGAAAAGCUUCUAAGCUUCAGGUAACCAGGAACCGUACCCCAAACCGACACAGGUGGUCGGGUAGAGAAUACCAAGGCGCUUGAGAGAACUCGGGUGAAGGAACUAGGCAAAAUGGCACCGUAACUUCGGGAGAAGGUGCGCCGGCUAGGGUGAAGGAUUUACUCCGUAAGCUCUGGCUGGUCGAAGAUACCAGGCCGCUGCGACUGUUUAUUAAAAACACAGCACUCUGCAAACACGAAAGUGGACGUAUAGGGUGUGACGCCUGCCCGGUGCCGGAAGGUUAAUUGAUGGGGUUAGCGCAAGCGAAGCUCUUGAUCGAAGCCCCGGUAAACGGCGGCCGUAACUAUAACGGUCCUAAGGUAGCGAAAUUCCUUGUCGGGUAAGUUCCGACCUGCACGAAUGGCGUAACGAUGGCGGCGCUGUCUCCACCCGAGACUCAGUGAAAUUGAAAUCGCUGUGAAGAUGCAGUGUAUCCGCGGCUAGACGGAAAGACCCCGUGAACCUUUACUGUAGCUUUGCACUGGACUUUGAGCCUGCUUGUGUAGGAUAGGUGGGAGGCUUUGAAGCGUGGACGCCAGUUCGCGUGGAGCCAUCCUUGAAAUACCACCCUGGCAUGCUUGAGGUUCUAACUCUGGUCCGUGAUCCGGAUCGAGGACAGUGUAUGGUGGGCAGUUUGACUGGGGCGGUCUCCUCCUAAAGAGUAACGGAGGAGUACGAAGGUGCGCUCAGACCGGUCGGAAAUCGGUCGCAGAGUAUAAAGGCAAAAGCGCGCUUGACUGCGAGACAGACACGUCGAGCAGGUACGAAAGUAGGUCUUAGUGAUCCGGUGGUUCUGUAUGGAAGGGCCAUCGCUCAACGGAUAAAAGGUACUCCGGGGAUAACAGGCUGAUACCGCCCAAGAGUUCAUAUCGACGGCGGUGUUUGGCACCUCGAUGUCGGCUCAUCACAUCCUGGGGCUGAAGCCGGUCCCAAGGGUAUGGCUGUUCGCCAUUUAAAGUGGUACGCGAGCUGGGUUUAGAACGUCGUGAGACAGUUCGGUCCCUAUCUGCCGUGGACGUUUGAGAUUUGAGAGGGGCUGCUCCUAGUACGAGAGGACCGGAGUGGACGAACCUCUGGUGUUCCGGUUGUCACGCCAGUGGCAUUGCCGGGUAGCUAUGUUCGGAAAAGAUAACCGCUGAAAGCAUCUAAGCGGGAAACUUGCCUCAAGAUGAGAUCUCACUGGGAACUUGAUUCCCCUGAAGGGCCGUCGAAGACUACGACGUUGAUAGGCUGGGUGUGUAAGCGUUGUGAGGCGUUGAGCUAACCAGUACUAAUUGCCCGUGAGGCUUGACCAU